rnacentral:tRNA from 1 species
AAACAAAGAAGUAAUAUAUACAGUUAGUUUCGACCUAAUAUAAGAGAUUGAGUUCUCCAUGUUUA